AUAAUAAUCAGAAUGAAGUAUCCGCUGUCAUAUCAGUUAUGUGCAAACUGCUGGAUGAUGACGGUAAGUCUAGUACAAUGCCCACAAGUGGUAUAUUAUGACACUAAUCCGAUAAAUCUGACUUAACUUGUAAGUUGUGUGUGUAUGCUUCGGGAUGCCAGAUUGUUACGUUGUUUUUUUUUUUCUUUUAAUGUCUUUUGAUUUUUAACGUUAGUUAAGAAGAGAGAGAUUUUUGCCGUGGAUGAUUGACUGGUGACGUCACGGAGCGUCAUUAUGUCGCAGAACUGUAAUGUCCUUUGCCCAUGAUGCAACAUGAGAGGCUCUCUCCUUUCCUAGAAAGCAUUACUAGUUUUGUAACGGUGUUAUGUUACGCGAAUUAGUAGUCCGCAUACCACGUCUUGGUUGUCGCUUAUUAGUGCGAGUUUUAUUAAAUAAAAUUUACAAAUUACAUCCGGCAAAACGUCAUUACGCGCCGUUUAAACUGUUUGAUUUGUGUAGGCCUAAAAAAAAAAAACUCUCUCCCAUCUGCGUGCUCGACUUCCCCUCAGCCCCCUUUGGUUUUAAGGAUGUCCCGCUAUGCACGGCAUGAGAGAGAGAGAGAACUUCUAGCAAAGAAAGUCCUUUUUGAAAAGAAGGGAGGGAAGUUUGUAAGCAACGCCCGUACACAGUUUUAUUCGAAUCGAUUUUUCUCUCUCUCUCUCGAUUUUUUUUUUUCAUCGAGGAAUAACGAAUAUUUGUUUUCGGAUUAUAGCGAUUUAUCCGAUACGAUCGAGCAAAAUUCGAAGUUUUCUCGUUUAAGAAACACGGAGAUAGUUUAGCAGAGAAGAGUGUUGACGGAAGUAUCUCUAGGGAGUUUGGAAGAUUUUUUAAAAGGCUUUUUUUUCGACACGUUGCUCCGGCAUUAAAUUAUUUCUGUAAUUCAGCAUUUUGAGCAUCUGCUGGGGAUGAUAUGGUCCCCUUCGGGCAAUCAGUAAGUAGCAAGGCCGUGGGAUAGGGACGCCGUAUACUCCCCACCCUGAUUGGUUCAAGGGAUGCUGCUGGCGGUAAUACUCUGGGGGCCUUUUUAGGGAUGUGUAUAUGUGGCUCACUGAAAGAGCUUGGGACAUCUGUCCGAAAACCGGAGAAACCAAAUCAAAACGUUGGCUUUAUCUAUUCCCUUCGUUUUUUCUACACGUCCCUGGAUACAUAUCCGUGCCCUUAUGGAGUAUCUGCCAUUCGCUUCCGUUACUCAUCUACAGAUAAAUUCUGCCAUUUGGAAUUACUCAGUGUCACUAUCAGUAAGUAGUUCGAAAUUUCGUCUUCUCGGAGCCGUUUUAUUUAUUUUUUUCUCUCCACCAUUGCGCGUUGCUGGUUAUCAGAGAGAGAGAGAGAGAGAGGUGGGUCUUCGACGUGUAGCCUUAUGGCACCCGGGCCUAAAUUUCGAGCGAAUAUUAAACUCGUUUUAUUAUUUAAUUAAAAGCGUUUAUUAGCUAUCUAAAAGUAGAAUCGGCGGAGGAAUAGCGAUAAACAGCGGUUUUUUUUCCCGUCAAUAUCGUAAAUUUCGUCGACUUUUUUUUUUUGCUUAUUUCGGGGUGUUAAUAUGCCAGUAACGUUGGCGGUUACAAAGAACGUUGCCCCAUACCGAAGUGAGUUACGUCACGAACUGCUUCAAAUUCGUCGGUUUGUCGCACUAUAGAUUACGCAUGCGCCGUGGCAGCCGGGUCGCACUUCCAUACUCGUCAGGGUUCACUAAUCGUCGAGGAAUAAAUACAGAACGUCUUUGCAUCGCUGCUACCCGCCCUCGGGCCCUUAUUCACAUUCGAGUAACUCGUCUCGGGGUCUAAAGUCGUAUCCGUUUUUUUAUUCCGCUAUGUGCUGGCACAAUAAAAAAAAAGAAAGAAAAAAAAACUGUAGAUCAGUUUCUCUAACGUGGCAAACCAGAGGCCUCAGCUUAGGCUUUAUCGCAGUUUUAGAAAAGCUCUAACACUCAUUAAUUACUUCUUAUUUUCACGUUUUAAAGCCGAUUUUUAGUAAAUAUUCUAAUGGGAAGUUUCUUAAUCCUUUAUACGGCUUUUUCAGUUUAAAACUUGGCCAUUUUUUUUGCGCUAAGUUUAUGCAAAUCUCGGCGCAAACAUGCAAUUAAAGUAUAUGCCGCUCGAAUUUUUAAUGAAUUAUUCACUUAAAGUAUCCCGAGACGUUAACGAAAAAAAAAAAAAAAAAUUUU
rnacentral:lncRNA from 1 species